CGCAUCCUUCGGGGUGAGUGGCAGACGGGUGAGUAACGCGUGGGAACGUGCCCUUCAGUUCGGAAUAACCCAGGGAAACUUGGGCUAAUACCGGAUACGUGCGAGAGCAGAAAGAUUUAUCGCUGAAGGAUCGGCCCGCGUCUGAUUAGCUAGUUGGUGGGGUAAUGGCCCACCAAGGCGACGAUCAGUAGCUGGUCUGAGAGGAUGAUCAGCCACAUUGGGACUGAGACACGGCCCAAACUCCUACGGGAGGCAGCAGUGGGGAAUAUUGGACAAUGGGCGCAAGCCUGAUCCAGCCAUGCCGCGUGAGUGAUGAAGGCCUUAGGGUUGUAAAGCUCUUUCGUCCGGGACGAUAAUGACGGUACCGGAAGAAGAAGCCCCGGCUAACUUCGUGCCAGCAGCCGCGGUAAUACGAAGGGGGCUAGCGUUGUUCGGAAUCACUGGGCGUAAAGGGCGCGUAGGCGGCUUUGUAAGUCGGGGGUGAAAGCCUGUGGCUCAACCACAGAAUUGCCUUCGAUACUGCAUGGCUUGAGACCGGAAGAGGUUAGUGGAACUGCGAGUGUAGAGGUGAAAUUCGUAGAUAUUCGCAAGAACACCAGUGGCGAAGGCGGCUGACUGGUCCGGUUCUGACGCUGAGGCGCGAAAGCGUGGGGAGCAAACAGGAUUAGAUACCUGGUAGUCCACGCCGUAAACGAUGAAUGCCAGCCGUUGGCGAGCUUGCUCGUCAGU
rnacentral:rRNA from 1 species